rnacentral:rRNA from 1 species
UGGGGAAUAUUGCACAAUGGGGGAAACCCUGAUGCAGCGACGCCGCGUGAGCGAAGAAGGUUUUCGAAUCGUAAAGCUCUGUCCUAUGAGAAGAUAAUGACGGUAUCAUAGGAGGAAGCCCCGGCUAAAUACGUGCCAGCAGCCGCGGUAAUACGUAUGGGGCGAGCGUUGUCCGGAAUUAUUGGGCGUAAAGCGAGCGCUGGCGGUUAGAAAAGUCUGAAGUGAAAGGCAGUGGCUCAACCAUUGUAGGCUUUGGAAACUGUUUAACUUGAGUGCAGAAGGGGAGAGUGGAAUUCCAUGUGUAGCGGUGAAAUGCGUAGAUAUAUGGAGGAACACCGGUGGCGAAAGCGGCUCUCUGGUCUGUAACUGACGCUGAGGCUCGAAAGCGUGGGGAGCGAACAGG